rnacentral:rRNA from 1 species
UCGGUGGCGAAGGCGUGCUACUGGACCGUAACUGACACUCAGGGACGAAAGCUAGGGGAGCGAAAGGGAUUAGAUACCCCUGUAGUCCUAGCUGUAAACGAUGGAAACUAGGUGUGGCUUGUAUCGACCCGAGCCGUGCCGUAGCUAACGCGUUAAGUUUCCCGCCUGGGGAGUACGCACGCAAGUGUGAAACUCAAAGGAAUUGACGGGGGCCCGCACAAGCGGUGGAGUAUGUGGUUUAAUUCGAUGCAACGCGAAGAACCUUACCAGGGCUUGACAUGUCGCGAAUCUCGGUGAAAGCUGAGAGUGCCUUCGGGAGCGCGAACACAGGUGGUGCAUGGCUGUCGUCAGCUCGCGUCGUGAGAUGUUGGGUUAAGUCCCGCAACGAGCGCAACCCUUAUUUUUAGUUGCCAGCAUUAAGAUGGGCACUCUAGAAAGACUGCCGGUGACAAACCGGAGGAAGGUGAGGACGACGUCAAGUCAGCAUGCCCCUUACGCCCUGGGCUACACACGUACUACAAUGGUUGGGACAAAGGGCAGCGACUCCGCAAGGAAUAGCGAAUCUCAUCAAACCCAGCCUCAGUUCAGAUUGCAGGCUGCAACUCGCCUGCACGAAGGAGGAAUCGCUAGUAAUCGCAGGUCAGCAUACUGCGGUGAAUUCGUUCCCGGGCCUUGUACACACCGCCCGUCACACCAUGGAAGCUGGUCACGCCCGAAGUAGUUACCCUAACCUUUCGAGGAGGGGGAUUCCUAAGGCAGGGCUAGUGACUGGGGUGAAGUCGUAACAAGGUAACC